CUCACAGUGUAGUAUAAUGGAUUUGUGAUUCAGCACAGGAGACUUGAAAGACCUGGGAAGGCAUCUUGAAAAAUAUGAAACCUGAGGUGGAUCCUGGUUGUUUUCCUGUGGUCACCAGCACAACUGAGGGACCCAUCUGAGUGACAGGUACUUACAUUCUUCUGGAAUUUUUAAUCACAGCUUAACACUUGUCAGCUUCAAAGGAUACACUGUAGGGAAAUUAGUGUCACAUCAUGUGAUGCAGCAGUUGUAGGGCUGCAAAGAAAACAGAUUGUUUGAUUAUUUUUUUCUUCCACAGCUAAGGUUAAGUGUCGGGACAGCUGCGAGUCGAGCCUUCAAGGCACGCUGCUUUAUCUGAUUGGUCUCAGUCUUGAUCUG
rnacentral:lncRNA from 1 species